rnacentral:rRNA from 1 species
UACGGGGGGGGUAAGCGUUGUUCGGAAUUACUGGGCGUAAAGGGCGCGUAGGCGGCCCACUAAGUCAGACGUGAAAUCCCCCGGCUUAACCUGGGAACUGCGUCUGAUACUGGAGGGCUUGAGUAUGGGAGAGGGAUGUAGAAUUCCAGGUGUAGCGGUGAAAUGCGUAGAUAUCUGGAGGAAUACCGGUGGCGAAGGCGGCAUCCUGGACCAUUACUGACGCUGAGGCGCGAAAGCUAGGGGAGCAAACGGG